AACGAACGCUGGCGGCAUGCCUAAUACAUGCAAGUCGAACGAGAUCUUCGGAUCUAGUGGCGCACGGGUGCGUAACGCGUGGGAAUCUGCCCUUGGGUUCGGAAUAACGUCGGGAAACUGACGCUAAUACCAGAUGACGACGUAAGUCCAAAGAUUUAUCGCCCAAGGAUGAGCCCGCGUAGGAUUAGCUAGUUGGUAAGGUAAAGGCUUACCAAGGCGACGAUCCUUAGCUGGUCUCAGAGGAUGAUCAGCCACACUGGGACUGAGACACGGCCCAGACUCCUACGGGAGGCAGCAGUAGGGAAUAUUGGACAAUGGGCGCAAGCCUGAUCCAGCAGUGCCGCGUGAGAGAUGAAGGCCUUAGGGUUGUAAGCUCUUUUACCCGGGAUGAUAAUGACAGUACCGGGAGAAUAAGCCCCGGCUAACUCCGUGCCAGCAGCCGCCGCUG
rnacentral:rRNA from 1 species